UACGAAGGGGGCUAGCGUUGUUCGGAAUCACUGGGCGUAAAGCGCACGUAGGCGGCGCAGCAAGUCAGGGGUGAAAUCCCGGGGCUCAACCUCGGAACUGCCCUUGAAACUGCAGUGCUAGAAUCUUGGAGAGGCGAGUGGAAUUCCGGGUGUAGAGGUGAAAUUCGUAGAUAUUCGGAAGAACACCAGUGGCGAAGGCGACUCGCUGGACAAGUAUUGACGCUGAGGUGCGAAAGCGUGGGGAGCAAACAGG
rnacentral:rRNA from 1 species